GUCGAAUGGGGAAAUUCAUUCGCGUUUCGAUUGUCGGCGUUGAGCGGUUGCGUGACUGACGGAGUACGCUUCGUCCGCACCUUCAGUUCUUCGAACCGACUUCGAACGCGUGCACUUUUCCCCUAGUAGGACGUCGCGAUCCGUUGGGUGUCGGUCUAAGGCCUGUGGUGGAGCUCGCGCGGACGUUUCGGCGUUCCGCACGAACCCGCAGUGUCCCGAUCGACUCGCUCGACGGUAUAAAGAUGGCGCGGGGCCGCUACUCAGUUAGCGUUCGGCCUACGGCAAGCACGUACGGUGUUUGACGGCRAUCAGACCUGGUCGGAUCCCGUCCCCGGACGACUGUUGGCACGUAGUGUUCUCGAACAGACCUCGUUGAAACGCCGAUCUGCGACGCUAUAGCUUUGGGUACUUUCAGGACCCGUCUUGAAACACGGCAAGGGGGGAAAG
rnacentral:rRNA from 1 species